GACGAACGCUGGCGGCGUGCUUAACACAUGCAAGUCGAACGGUGAAGCGCCUUCCUUUUUGGUGGGUGUGGAUGAGUGGCGAACGGGUGAGUAACACGUGAGUAACCUGCCCCCUUCUUCUGGAUAACCGCAUGAAAGUGUGGCUAAUACGGGAUAUUCUGGGUCUGUCGCAUGAUGGGUCUGGGAAAGAUAUUGUUUCGGUGGGGGAUGGGCUCGCGGCCUAUCAGCUUGUUGGUGGGGUGAUGGCCUACCAAGGCGGUGACGGGUAGCCGGCCUGAGAGGGUGGACGGCCCCACUGGGGCUGCGACGCGGCCAAGACUCCUAGGGGAGGCAGCGGUGGAGAAUGUUGCACAAUGGGAGCAAGGCUGAUGCAGCGCCGCGGCGAGGGGGAUGGAGGCCUUCGGGUUGUGAACCUCUUUCGCCAGUGAAGCAGGCCUGCCUCGUUUGUGGGUGGGUUGACGGUAGCUGGAUAAGAAGCGCCGGCUAACUACGUG
rnacentral:rRNA from 1 species